rnacentral:rRNA from 1 species
GCGGAGGGAUCAUUACUGAGUGAGGGCCUUCGGGCUCGACCUCCAACCCUUUGUGAACACAACUUGUUGCUUCGGGGGCGACCCUGCCGUUUCGACGGCGAGCGCCCCCGGAGACCAUCAAACACUGCAUCUUUGCGUCGGAGUUUAAGCAAAUUAAACAAAACUUUCAACAACGGAUCUCUUGGUUCUGGCAUCGAUGAAGAACGCAGCGAAAUGCGAUAAGUAAUGUGAAUUGCAGAAUUCAGUGAAUCAUCGAAUCUUUGAACGCACAUUGCGCCCUUUGGUAUUCCGAAGGGCAUGCCUGUUCGAGCGUCAUUUCACCACUCAAGCCUGGCUUGGUAUUGGGCGCCGCGGUCAAUCCGCGCGCCUCAAAGUCUCCGGCUGAGCUGUCCGUCUCUAAGCGUUGUGAUUUCAUUAAUCGCUUCGGAGUGCGGGCGGCCGCGGCCGUUAAAUCUUUCACAAGGUUGACCUCGGAUCAGGUAGGGAUACCCGCUG